rnacentral:tmRNA from 1 species
ACCGACCUCAUGAAAUCAGUACACCAAACAAGUGCCAAACGCACAAAUUAUGCAACCCUUCCUUUAGCUGCCUAGCAGUUGAAUAGGGUUCAUGGUCUCUAAACAGACCACGUCUGCCCAUCCUGUUCUCCGGUCAGAGAUGGAGCAGGCGUCACAAGACCGGAGUGCCGUUUGGAUAGCCGCGCUCCAAGCGUAAGCGAGCUUUCGGGCUCCAGUGGCUGGCUGCAGGUUUGGUUGGGUGAUUUACCACCCUGCAGCAAGAUAAACAAUCACCUACGCUCGUAGAUGUUCGAGGCUCUAUUCUUUCGGACGCGGGUUCGAUUCCCGCCAUCUCCACUG